rnacentral:lncRNA from 1 species
AGGAGAAAAAGGGGCCAGUUCUCCUCUUCUUCCUUCUGUCUCUCCUUUUGCCCUUUUUUCUGGCACCAACACAGCUGACCCGGUCCUUCUGUCCCUCUGAGCUCCUGUACUGGGCCCCCAUGACUGCUGUGUCUAGGUUGUGACUGUCCAUUUUUCUGUCCGCCUCUCUCACUGAGCAGAGCUCCUGGAGCACACAGACGGGUCGGCCCAAGGCCUGGCAGGGAGAAGCUGCCAGGAGUGUUUGAGAAUGAGGCACAGUCUCCCCACGAACUCCUUUGUCGUCAGUCCCUGCUAUCACAGAGAGGAGUCAGGAAGUCAGCGCAGGACAAGCGCAGGACAAGAACACCUCCAGACAGACACUGCUACAGAACGCCCUAUCUGCUCCCUGUCUCCUAAGGCCCCUUUUAUCCUCCCUAAAACUAACUUGUUUUCCAAUAAGUACCCUUCCUCUCCUCCCCUCCCCCCCGUAAGAGGAUUUGUAGGUCUUGAUUCUAAUCAUAUUCUUGAGUCACAGUUUUAUGUGAACUCCCACACCCAUAUGUGAAUAAAGAGCCAAACUUUCUCUUUCUAAUCUACCUUUGUCACCUUGAUUGCAGGCCCCUCACUGAACACAGGAGGGGACAGGGAAAGUUUUCCUCCCCUUGUUCUCAUCACUUGUUAAAGUCUCCACUCUGCCCAGGAGGAGGCUGGGGCUGAGCGGGAGGAAGCUUCCUCGAGACUGCACAGCGGGUCUGGCAGAGCCAAGUUCUGACUCAAAUCUGUCCUCCAGUCUGAUGUGCCUUGCACCGUGUGGCUUCCGGGAGGCUGUGGAGGAGCUGAAGGUGUGGAGUGGAUGCAUCCUGGAUAAGGUACUGGUCCUCACUGGGAAGGAGGCAUGAGGCCAGAUAAGAGGUGUGCGUCUCCUUGGGCC